GGUAUCAGAAGUGCGAAUGCUGACAUAAGUAACGAUAAAGCGGGUGAAAAGCCCGCUCGCCGGAAGACCAAGGGUUCCUGUCCAACGUUAAUCGGGGCAGGGUGAGUCGACCCCUAAGGCGAGGCCGAAAGGCGUAGUCGAUGGGAAACAGGUUAAUAUUCCUGUACUUGGUGUUACUGCGAAGGGGGGACGGAGAAGGCUAUGUUGGCCGGGCGACGGUUGUCCCGGUUUAAGCGUGUAGGCUGGUUUUCCAGGCAAAUCCGGAAAAUCAAGGCUGAGGCGUGAUGACGAGGCACUACGGUGCUGAAGCAACAAAUGCCCUGCUUCCAGGAAAAGCCUCUAAGCAUCAGGUAACAUCAAAUCGUACCCCAAACCGACACAGGUGGUCAGGUAGAGAAUACCAAGGCGCUUGAGAGAACUCGGGUGAAGGAACUAGGCAAAAUGGUGCCGUAACUUCGGGAGAAGG
rnacentral:rRNA from 1 species